UCCAGACUCCCACGGGAGGCAGCAGUGGGGGAUAUUGCACAAUGGGGGGAACCCUGAUGCAGCGACGCCGCGUGGGUGAAGGAGCGUUUCGGCGCGUAAAGCCCUAUCGGCAGGGAAGAAGGAGGACGGUACCUGACUAAGAAGCCCCGGCUAACUACGUGCCAGCAGCCGCGGUAAUACGUAGGGGGCAAGCGUUAUCCGGAUUUACUGGGUGUAAAGGGGGCGCAGACGGCAGCGCAAGCCAGGAGUGAAAGCCCGGGGCCCAACCCCGGGACUGCUCUUGGAACUGCGCGGCUGGAGUGCAGGAGGGGCAGGCGGAAUUCCUGGUGUAGCGGUGAAAUGCGUAGAUAUCAGGAGGAACACCGGUGGCGAAGGCGGCCUGCUGGACUGCGACUGACGUUGAGGCCCGAAAGCGUGGGGAGCAAACAGGAUUAGAUACCCGCGUAG
rnacentral:rRNA from 1 species